rnacentral:rRNA from 1 species
AUUGAACGCUGGCGGCAUGCUUUACACAUGCAAGUCGAACGGCAGCGCGGGGCAACCUGGCGGCGAGUGGCGAACGGGCGAGUAAUAUAUCGGAACGUACCCAGAAGUGGGGGAUAACGUAGCGAAAGUUACGCUAAUACCGCAUACGAUCUACGGAUGAAAGUAGGGGACCGCAAGGCCUUAUGCUUUUGGAGCGGCCGAUAUCUGAUUAGCUAGUUGGCGAGGUAAAGGCUCACCAAGGCGACGAUCAGUAGCUGGUCUGAGAGGACGACCAGCCACACUGGAACUGAGACACGGUCCAGACUCCUACGGGAGGCAGCAGUGGGGAAUUUUGGACAAUGGGCGCAAGCCUGAUCCAGCAAUGCCGCGUGAGUGAAGAAGGCCUUCGGGUUGUAAAGCUCUUUUGUCAGGGAAGAAACGGUAGAGGCUAAUAUCCUUUGCUAAUGACGGUACCUGAAGAAUAAGCACCGGCUAACUACGUG